GCGACGAAGAGGAAGCCGCCCUUCCGGCCUGCGCCGGACGACACCAAGCCCGUGCUCCGCGACCCGAUCUCGCGGUCGGACCCCGUGGAAACCGAGCAGGCCGUGCUGCGGCUGCCGCCCUUCCCCUGACGCCGACCCGCGUCCCGAUGAUCCCAUGGUGCAGAUAAUUCUAAAGAAGUUACUGAGAUAAGGUUUUGUCUGAAUUUAUUCUGCAACAGUUGGCUCGUCUUGGCAGAUGUUUUUAUUGUGGAGAACGAAGGGCCCUCAUUGGAAGACUUGGACUAAUAUUAGCUUGUUUCUUCCGUAAUACUAGCAUUUUCUAGUCUUCUUUUGGAGGGGAGUGUCUCAUAGUUUUAAUCUAGUUCCACAUGGGGUUGUAGGAGGAGAUGAAGUGCUUCUAAUUGCAAUUGCUGGAUACACGACAUAGUUGUACCGCUUCAAUGCCAAUUCAUUUUUUCGGGAAA